rnacentral:rRNA from 1 species
GACGAACGCUGGCGGCGUGCUUAACACAUGCAAGUCGAACGGAAAGGCCCUGCUUUUGUGGGGUGCUCGAGUGGCGAACGGGUGAGUAACAAGUGAGUAACCUGCCCUUGACUUUGGGAUAACUUCAGGAAACUGGGGCUAAUACCGGAUAGGAGCUCCUGCUGCAUGGUGGGGGUUGGAACGUUUCGGCGGUUGGGGAUGGACUCGCGGCUUAUCAGCUUGUUGGUGGGGUAGUGGCUUACCAAGGCUUUGACGGGUAGCCGGACUGAGAGGGUGACCGGCCACAGUGGGACUGAGAUACGGCCCAGACUCCUACGGGAGGCAGCAGUGGGUAAUAUUGCACAAUGGGCGGAAGCCUGAUGCAGCAACGCCGCGUGCGGGAGGACGGCCUUCGGGUUGUAAACCGCUUUCGCCUGUGACGAAGCGUGAGUGACGGUAAUGGGUAAAGGAGCACCGGCUAACUACGU